UACGAAGGGGGCUAGCGUUGCUCGGAAUCACUGGGCGUAAAGCGCACGUAGGCGGAUCGUUAAGUCAGGGGUGAAAUCCUGGAGCUCAACUCCAGAACUGCCUUUGAUACUGGCGACCUUGAGUUCGGGAGAGGUGAGUGGAACUGCGAGUGUAGAGGUGAAAUUCGUAGAUAUUCGGCAAGAACACCAGUGGCGAAGGCGGCUCACUGGCCCGAUACUGACGCUGAGGUGCGAAAGCGUGGGGGGCAAACAGGG
rnacentral:rRNA from 1 species